GACGAACGCUGGCGGCGUGCUUAACACAUGCAAGUCGAACGGAAAGGCCCUGAUUUUGUGGGGUGCUCGAGUGGCGAACGGGUGAGUAACACGCGAGUAACCUGCCCUUGACUUUGGGAUAACUUCAGGAAACUGGGGCUAAUACCGGAUAGGAGCUCCUGCUGCAUGGUGGGGGUUGGAAAGUUUCGGCGGUUGGGGCUGGACUCGCGGCUUAUCAGCUUGUUGGUGGGGUAGUGGCUGACCAAGUCUUUGACGGGUAGGCGGCCUGAGAGGGUGACCGGCGACAUGGGGACUGAGAUACGGCCCAGACGCCUACGGGAGGCAGCAGUGGGGAAUAUUGCACAAUGGGCGGAAGCCUGAGGCAGCAACGCCGCGUGCGGGAUGACGGCCUUCUGGGUGUAAACCGCUGUCGCCUGUGACGAAGCGUGAGUGACGGUAAUGGGUAAAGAAGCACCGGCUAACUACGUG
rnacentral:rRNA from 1 species